AGUAACGACCAAACCAAACAAACAUUUUCAGUUCAAGAACUCUUUUGCAUCUCAACGACCUUCUUCCACGAAUCUCUGCUCGAAAUCUCAUCCCACCAUCUUCCCACAUUCUGCUUGGAAGUAAAUAUCUCUGCCCUAUUAGCCGCCGUCACCAAGUACUGGGUAUUGGGCAAGUGGGACAGAUCCGCCAGCGAGAAUUCGUCGCCGGAAUUCGUGCACAGGAAGGAAAAUGAAUAAAGCGAAAUUGAUAAUAUAAACCCUGAUUUUGCAGGGCUUAUCGGCCUCAGAGAGUUUCCACAAUAAAUCUCUCUUUUGAUUUCCGAAAAUGGCGAAUCAGCAGCUCUCUCCGGCGCGGCCAUGGAUACUCGAAGCGGUUCCUCUGAUGGUGGUCAUCCUUAUAGCUGCUCAUGUCUUCGCUUUGGUGUAUUGGAUAUACAGAUUGGCCACCGAGAAACAGCCACAGAGAAGAAAAGCGCACUGAUGAACCCUAGGACUUGCAGGAACGAAACGGGGAGGUUGGUGGAAACCCUAAUUUGUUGACCUGUUUAGACAUUAUAUUGGAGCGCAUUAGAAAUUUACAGGAAUUAAGGACAUUAAACGGAUUCAUUUAGAGUGCUGGCUAUGUGUCUUCUAUUUUUUGUUCUCUUUUUGGGUUUUAUUCUCAUGACAUUCUGUAUAUUAAUGUGUGUGACUGAUUCGCUUGUUUUGAUUCUCCGAUAGUAUAAAGAGAAGGAAAAGGAGCGGGACCUUUUUUUUUUU